rnacentral:rRNA from 1 species
UACGAAGGGGGCUAGCGUUGUUCGGAAUUACUGGGCGUAAAGCGCACGUAGGCGGAUAUUUAAGUCAGGGGUGAAAUCCCAGAGCUCAACUCUGGAACUGCCUUUGAUACUGGGUAUCUUGAGUAUGGAAGAGGUAAGUGGAAUUGCGAGUGUAGAGGUGAAAUUCGUAGAUAUUCGCAGGAACACCAGUGGCGAAGGCGGCUUACUGGUCC